GCCUACGGGGCGCAGCAGUGAGGAAUAUUGGUCAAUGGUCGGGAGACUGAACCAGCCAAGCCGCGUGAGGGAUGAAGGUACAGAGUAUCGUAAACCUCUUUUGUCAGGGAACAAAGGCGGGGACGCGUCCCCGGAUGAGUGUACCUGAAGAAAAAGCAUCGGCUAACUCCGUGCCAGCAGCCGCGGUAAUACGGAGGAUGCGAGCGUUAUCCGGAUUUAUUGGGUUUAAAGGGUGCGUAGGCGGGCAUUUAAGCCGGCGGUCAAAUGUCGGGG
rnacentral:rRNA from 1 species